rnacentral:lncRNA from 10 species
CUAAUUUAAUACUGCAUUUUCUAUAACUUUUUCUUUAGGCUUGUGGACAUCCCUUAGUGACUGUUACAGAUUCCUGCAGGGGCAAUCCUAAUACUAUAAUCUCUCUAGUGGAAUACAGGUAUUUGAGCUUGGCUUUAAUCAGGAAGUGGAGCAUCUUUCUUCAAUUUCUUUCACUUUUUAAUUUUAAUUCAUUCAGUAUCAGUUUUGACUUUUGGAUAAAGUGAUGCAGCGGAACAUAAUUUAAUCCCCAUUCUUUUCCACAGGUUUCAAAGUGAUUUUAGCUGCCUUCAUACUCAUCAUAAACGUGAAUUCCACUACAGGGAUUGGUGUAUUUUAAGGCUUUGUGUGUGGAAACAUUAAAGUUUUCCGUAUAUAGGAUCAUGUCAUCUGCAAACAGAGAUUGUUUUACCUCUUCCAUUCUGAUUUGGAUUUAUUUUAUUGGCAAUGUCAAUUGAACAGAACAUUUAUAAAAUCAUGCUCUAGGACGAAGGAGAAUUUAUCCCUUGGAUACGAGAAGGCUUCUACACACACAAGUAACUAAAUGUGACAUACCACAUUAACGGAAUGAAGAAUAAAAAUCACAUGGUCACCUCAAAUAUUACAUGAUCAUCUGUCAAAUGGAGAAACAGCAUUUGCCAAAACUCAACACCAUGAUAAAAAUGCUCAACAAACUAGAUACAGAGGAAAUGUACCAAAGCAUGAUAAAGGCCAUAUAUAUUACAAAUCCACCAUAAACAUCAUACCAAACAGUGAAAAACUGAAAUAUUUUCCUAUAAGAUCAGAAACAAAAGAAGAAUGCCAACUCUCAACACUUCUAUUCAACACUCUUAUUCACAUCUAAUACAUUGAUGAGAAUGUUUUCUGCUAUUCAGUAAUUCUAUUGAGAUGUUUCUGGUUUUUAAAAUUUCAGUUAUUAUGGCUAUUUAAUUGAAAUUGCUGAUACAUAUUUUAGAUUGAAAUUGAUAGUUUUUAUGUUGAUCUCGUAUUUUUAAAGAAUUACAAUAUUUUAUUGUUUUAUGUAUAUAGUUGUUAGUAUGUAGAUAUGAUCCAACCAAUUUAUGUUUACCAGUAUAUAUGUUCAACACUUUAAAGAAAAAAUAUAUGUCAUAUGCGUCUGUUUGUAUGAAAGUUUUAUGUUUAUUUAAAUAUCUGAAAAAGCUAUUUCUGGGUUCCAUAUAAAUGAACAAAAUAAUGUGGAUAAGCACAGAAUUUCCAAGUUAAAACUCCACAAAUUCACUAGCUUCUUGUAUCUCAAUUUGUGAAACCACAGUACAAUACCAGGUUGAAUUAUUUUAUCCUUAUGUUUGCUGGGUUUUUUACCAAUUAUUUGUUAAUUAAGUUUAAAUUUGAAAUAUAAUAUAUGAGUCAGAUGUUUUUCUGUAUAUUACUUUUUUGAUUGUCC